rnacentral:rRNA from 1 species
UAAAGGGUUUCAACAAAACUUUUAAUUGAAGAGUUUGAUCAUGGCUCAGAUUGAACGCUGGCGGCAGGCCUAACACAUGCAAGUCGAGCGGUAACAGAGAUAGC